rnacentral:rRNA from 1 species
GACGAACGCUGGCGGCGUGCUUAACACAUGCAAGUCGAACGGAAAGGCCCUGCUUUUGUGGGGUGCUCGAGUGGCGAACGGGUGAGUAACACGUGAGUAACCUGCCCUUGACUUUGGGAUAACUUCAGGAAACUGGGGCUAAUACCGGAUAGGAGCUCCUGCUGCAUGGUGGGGGUUGGAAAGUUUCGGCGGUUGGGGAUGGACUCGCGGCUUAUCAGCUUGUUGGUGGGGUAGUGGCUUACCAAGGCUUUGACGGGUAGCCGGCAUGAGAGGGUGACCGGCCACAUGGGGACUGAGAUACGGACCAGACUCCUACGGGAGGCAGCAGUGGGGAAUAUUGCACAAUGGGCGGAAGUCUGAGGCAGCAACGCCGCGUGCGGGAUGACGGCCUUCGGGUUGUAAACCGCUUUCGCCUGUGACGAAGCGUGAGUGACGGUAAUGGGUAAAGAAGCACCGGCUAACUACGUG